AGCAGCCCGAGAUAAAGUGUAAAAAUUUUUUUUAGCUACCCUGAACCAUUCAAUCCUCUUCCACCCUUCUCCUCUCAUGUCCACAUAACCUUCUCGCUCUCUAUCCUUGGAGUGUUUGCAGUGAAACUCUAAGAAUGAACAUGUUCCAUGUCAGCACUGGACCCAGUGCCCAGGCUCUACAUCCUCCAAUCCUCCAUCUCUUUGGGGGCUUAGUGUCCAGGGUAGCUGCAUUAAUAGUUUUGGCAUUCAUCUUCUGUCUUGUUCCUUUGGUAAAACACACCUAAAGGCAAGAAAUCUAGGUGGUCUUUGAUAUCUUUUCUAGAAAGCAUACAUAGAACUGAUCUGAAAUU
rnacentral:lncRNA from 1 species